CGGGGUGUAGCGCAGCCUGGUAGCGCACCUGAAUGGGGUUCAGGUGGUCGACGGUUCGAAUCCGUCCACCCCGACCA
rnacentral:tRNA from 1 species